UCAGGGACGCUAAGUAGCUCAGGCUGGUUCAUGAUUCUCCUGCCACAGUUUGCAGAGAGAUGGGAUUACAGCCCCGUCUCUCCCCCUUUAAGUGCCAGCUCUAAACCUGCAAUUCAACAGAGUCUGAAAUGUGAAAAUACAGUGUUUCUUUGGGCAGAGGGUGAGACCCAAAGGUGAGAAUACCUCCCGGGAAACAGUCAUAGACUGAAAAUGUGGAGCAGAGUGUGCAAUGGACUGCCCGGGCGACCAUUACACAUCAAGUGGUCCUUACAUGUAUGUUACAGAUACAUGAACAGAAGCCAAGCCAUUCAGCAAUGAAUUCAGCUUAUUUAAGAAAGUGCUUGGUAUGCACAUGCAUAUCAUCCCAGCACUUGAGAGACAGAAGCUAAAGGACUGUACAAAUUUAAGGCCUGCCUGGUCUACAUGACUGGGCCCCUAAUCUAAGGACAGCACUGUGACACCUUCCACCUGUUUACACUGUUCCUACUGCCAUCUGAUGCCAACUUCCAGGGACUGUGAGUGAGAAGUGUUUUGUUGAGUCCUGAUUCCUAGUGAGAGAAAACAGGAAACUGCUGUUGCAAUCCACCAGUUACACAGUAGAGUACUGGACCACCUGUGAAAGGAUAUCAGGAAGUUACAGAGUAAACAUUGUCUGGGGAAAACAAAUGUCUAUUCAUCCCAAAUAGGGCUCCAACAACAGAUCAAAGAAACUACUCCACCAAUCUGGUUAAUUUUUGUCCCUUUGGCACAGCUAGAGUCAUCUGGAUUGAGAAAAUGGCUCCAUCCCCCUGACCUGAAGAUACGCCUAUGGGGUAUUCUCUUGAUUUAUGAUUGAUGUGAGAGGACCCAGCCCACUCUGGGUGGUAUCAUCCCUGGGCAGGUGGUCCUUGGUUGUAUAAAAAGGCAGGCUGAGCAAACCAUCAGGAGCUAGCUAGUAAGCAGUGUUCCUCCAUGUCUUUGUUUCAGAUCCUGCUUCUAGGUUCCCCCUGCCUUGAGUUGAGGCUGUGACUUCCUUCACUAUGAAGUGUGAGUCAAAUAAAGUCUUUCCUCCCCAA